UGAGCCUCCCGCUCGAGUUUAGACCAUACUUCCAUGAAUUUACUAUUCAGUCCAUGUCUUGAAUGAGUGACUCCUUCCCCACAAACAACUCCCCCUCCACCCCUCCCCUCGCCGUAAUUACAUCCUUGACAGUUUGGGGCGGAGUUGGAGGGUGAGUGGAACCCGCGAGAUCCCUCAUGGAACAGAAACACACUCCCUAUUAAAUCGCCCUGCCCUCUAGAUAACCAACAGAGAGAUCUGACAGAUAGCGCGAUCAGACACUAUUGACCAGUCUAUUUUUUAAAAGCACACACACACACACACACACACAGAUAGGCUUGACGGAGAAAUAACCCACUGCAGAAAAAAAAAACACUCGGACUCAUACUUGACAGAUCUCAACAUCUCCUCCGACUGGACAACUCCAUGAGGGAGUUGGUUUGGGUAACAAAGUCUUUUGCUCCUGUCGGUUCCCCAGAAUUAUUUUUUUUCGGGGUUUGGGGGUGGGGGAAUGGCAGUGGUUGUCGUUUGUUUGAGAGCUACAUGGAUGCAGAUUUCCAGGAGGUGAAUCGGUCUGUCCAAUCGACUUCCCCAGGAGAGAGCGAGGGGAAACUACAGCAGGAAAAUCAGCACAUCAGAGAUGGAGUGAAGUAAUGAUUGCUGCAGGGAGCGCCGGCGCUGUGAUCUCGAUGCAUCACAGUGUUUCUUUCUGCUGCCUGGGAGAGAAUUCUACGGAGAGUGGCGAAUGAACAUACAAAUCAUACAGAAACCUGAAGAAGAGGAUGGUUAAAGGGACACUGCUACUUAUCAUAUGUUUGAUAACCCUUUGGGGAAAAUUGCUAUCAGCUGCAAACCAUCAUAAAGGUCACCAUGUUAAGACCGGCACCUGUGAGGUAGUGGCUUUGCACAGAUGCUGCAAUAAGAACAAAAUCGAGGAGCGCUCCCAGACAGUGAAGUGCUCCUGUUUCCCGGGACAAGUCGCGGGAACAACACGUGCUGCUCCUUCCUGUGUUGAUGCCUCAAUAGUUUUACAGAAAUGGUGGUGUCAGAUGCAGCCAUGCCUGGAAGGAGAGGAAUGUAAAGUCUUGCCAGAUCGCACUGGUUGGAGCUGUGCCUCUGGAAAUAAAGUAAAAACAACCAAGCUGGUGGUUGGAAAUUGGUAGGGGUUCCAGCCAGGUAAAACUCCGAUUUACAUCACCUCGCUGGAACUCCAAUUCUCCCUCUCAGGAGAGAGACCUCCUCAGAUGCCAGUUCUAACAGCUAACUGAACAUUUAAACCAACUCCAGGUGACGCGAUAGUUGACGAGAAAGGUUGGGGUGUUUUUCGAAGUCACCUCAGUUCAACCCUCGGGUCUUGUCCUUUAACCUUCACCUGGUUUCUACAAAACCUGGAACACUUGCACUUGAGCUCAGCCAAGGACUCAAACAAGUGAGGAACUAAACGUUAAGAGAGCAAGACGACACUUAGUGGAACAUCCGUAGAAGGAGCAAUCACUGACCCCCUAUUCAUUGCGAGUUUUGCGGCACAUUCCAAAACGCUCCUCACAAGAAAGUGUGUCAACCAUCUCUCAGAUUCAUCGUUGCGAUUGCAACGGAACUGGACGUAUCUGAAUGCGUGGCUCGUAUUUUUGUAAAGGAGCAAGAGAUGGGACUUAUCGGAGCAGUGAGGUGAAAGGGAGCUGUGUUGAAAUUCAUGCUGACCAAACUCUUGGCUCCUGCCCUUUCCAGUGAUUUUUUUUUGGUAGCCACAGCCCCUCUGACUGGAUUCAAGUCGGGACGUUCUCUCUAAUAUUUGAAAUUUCAAAACGUGGAAAGGCUUUAGCUUUUCACAGUUUGAACUUUGCUUUUGUUAUAGAAAUGAAUACAUUAUGAUAAAUGUGUAUAAACAGCUGUCUGCUAUUGACAGUAAAUGCUUAUCCGUAUGCAUAAUCAUAUGAAAGUUAUCGCAGGAAUCUCUGACGCAACUGUACUGCUGGCGUUCUUUGACAAUUGAACAAAUACAGACUAUUUUAAUAACUUUGGUGAAAUGUGUGCACUAUCAGAAUACCUAAAUAACAUCUUUUUAUUUGGUUUAAAUUGUUACAUGGAGAAAGUCUGAAAGUGUUAGGAUCUUUUUACGUUAUCAGAAUAAUAUUACUAACCCACAACAUUCUUGUAACAUCAGUUCUGCUUGUAUGCGAGUUAAUUAGCAGUUACAUUUAUCACUGUAGCCUAAUCUUUAUUUGGAAUAUUUGGCAUUAUGAUUUUGAUGUGACUAAAUCCUUACAGGUAUUAUUUAUCGCUUUGAAAAAAAAUUGUGUACUCUAGAAAGCAACAAGAGGUCCAGUAUCCAAGAGGAAGAAGAUAAGGAGCAGAUGUUUAACUCAGUGAUGCUGUAAAACGUAGCACAGUCUCUGAAACUUUUUAGUUUUGUUUUGUUUCUGGACUUGUGUAUAUAUUUGUUUUCAAUGUAAACAGUAAAUAAAAUUCAAGUAGCAAAGAUGUAAAUAAUUCUUGGUAACAACUUAUCUCAUAAAAAAAGAGA